rnacentral:lncRNA from 1 species
UGGAGAAAGACACAUGCAGUCACUUCAUUGCAAGGACAGGUACAGAGACUUGCGGCCACCUGAAAAAGAAGCAUUUCUACUUCGUGUGUCACCGGUCUGGAAGUUAUGCUUCACAAGCUACAAGUAAACAAAAGCUGAAGCGGCCUUCAAGUGUCAAGUGUGGAAAAAGAUGUUUUGCGGCAAUGGCUGUGACUGAAGACAACACAGGUGUGUAUGUGGUUUUCCAAUUCAAGCACAGAGGCCACGAC